AGAGUUUGAUCAUGGCUCAGAUUGAACGCUGGCGGCAGGCCUAACACAUGCAAGUCGAACGGUAACAGGAAGCAGCUUGCUGCUUUGCUGACGAGUGGCGGACGGGUGAGUAAUGUCUGGGAAACUGCCUGAUGGAGGGGGAUAACUACUGGAAACGGUGGCUAAUACCGCAUAACGUCGCAAGACCAAAGAGGGGGACCUUCGGGCCUCUUGCCAUCAGAUGUGCCCAGAUGGGAUUAGCUUGUUGGUGGGGUAACGGCUCACCAAGGCGACGAUCCCUAGCUGGUCUGAGAGGAUGACCAGCCACACUGGAACUGAGACACGGUCCAGACUCCUACGGGAGGCAGCAGUGGGGAAUAUUGCACAAUGGGCGCAAGCCUGAUGCAGCCAUGCCGCGUGUAUGAAGAAGGCCUUCGGGUUGUAAAGUACUUUCAGCGGGGAGGAAGGUGUUGUGGUUAAUAACCGCAGCAAUUGACGUUACCCGCAGAAGAAGCACCGGCUAACUCCGUGCCAGCAGCCGCGGUAAUACGGAGGGUGCAAGCGUUAAUCGGAAUUACUGGGCGUAAAGCGCACGCAGGCGGUCUGUCAAGUCGGAUGUGAAAUCCCCGGGCUCAACCUGGGAACUGCAUUCGAAACUGGCAGGCUUGAGUCUUGUAGAGGGGGGUGGAAUUCCAGGUGUAGCGGUGAAAUGCGUAGAGAUCUGGAGGAAUACCGGUGGCGAAGGCGGCCCCCUGGACAAAGACUGACGCUCAGGUGCGAAAGCGUGGGGAGCAAACAGGAUUAGAUACCCUGGUAGUCCACGCCGUAAACGAUGUCUACUUGGAGGUUGUGCCCUUGAGGCGUGGCUUCCGGAGCUAACGCGUUAAGUAGACCGCCUGGGGAGUACGGCCGCAAGGUUAAAACUCAAAUGAAUUGACGGGGGCCCGCACAAGCGGUGGAGCAUGUGGUUUAAUUCGAUGCAACGCGAAGAACCUUACCUGGUCUUGACAUCCACAGAACUUUCCAGAGAUGGAUUGGUGCCUUCGGGAACUGUGAGACAGGUGCUGCAUGGCUGUCGUCAGCUCGUGUUGUGAAAUGUUGGGUUAAGUCCCGCAACGAGCGCAACCCUUAUCCUUUGUUGCCAGCGGUCCGGCCGGGAACUCAAAGGAGACUGCCAGUGAUAAACUGGAGGAAGGUGGGGAUGACGUCAAGUCAUCAUGGCCCUUACGACCAGGGCUACACACGUGCUACAAUGGCGCAUACAAAGAGAAGCGACCUCGCGAGAGCAAGCGGACCUCAUAAAGUGCGUCGUAGUCCGGAUUGGAGUCUGCAACUCGACUCCAUGAAGUCGGAAUCGCUAGUAAUCGUGGAUCAGAAUGCCACGGUGAAUACGUUCCCGGGCCUUGUACACACCGCCCGUCACACCAUGGGAGUGGGUUGCAAAAGAAGUAGGUAGCUUAACCUUCGGGAGGGCGCUUACCACUUUGUGAUUCAUGACUGGGGUGAAGUCGUAACAAGGUAACCGUAGGGGAACCUGCGGUUGGAUCACCU
rnacentral:rRNA from 1 species